rnacentral:rRNA from 1 species
CCUACGGGGGGCAGCAGUGAGGAAUAUUGGGCAAUGGGCGAAAGCCUGACCCAGCGACGCCGCGUGUAGGAUGAAGUCCUUCGGGAUGUAAACUACUGUCAGGGACUAGAAAGUUUCGAUUGAUCGGUCCCAGAGGAAGUCACGGCUAACUUCGUGCCAGCAGCCGCGGUAAUACGAAGGUGGCAAGCGUUGUUCGGAAUCACUGGGCUUAAAGGGCGCGUAGGCGGAUCAGAAAGUGUCUUGUGAAAUACCCCGGCUUAACCGGGGAAUGGCUCGGCAAACUACUGGUCUUGAGGCAAGUAGGGGUGUGUGGAACUCUUGGUGGAGCGGUGGAAUGCGUAGAUAUCAAGAGGAACGCCGAAGGUGAAGACAGCACACUGGACUUGCCCUGACGCUGAGGCGCGAAAGCGUGGGGAGCAAACAGGAUUAGAUACCCCAGUAGUC